rnacentral:lncRNA from 1 species
AUUGUACGGCAACCAAUUUGGUGAUUAAUACAAAGUUUAAUUACCAAAAAAAACACCUAAAGUUUUGGAAAAAAAACACUUUUAGCUUAUUGAGAAGCUUGGCCAAAGAGGCUAUUAGUCCCUUAACUAGUUAUUAGUACAUAUUAGUCUACCCUCUAUAACAAUACGAACUACUAAUAGGAUGACUCUUUAUAAAGUUAAGGAAAUAGAUAUUUUCCAACGGUGAGGAACUCUUCCUCUUUUUUGAAAUAUUAUUCAUUUUUUUCACUCCAACAGUGUUAUACGAAGAAUUGAAGAAAUUUUAAUAAUUAGUAUGUCGAAGAUUCAAUGUUGUAUACUUGUAUAUGUUAAGGAUGAAUUGGAAUUCCUAAUAUCAAACCAAACAAUUAAGAAUUUAUCAAUUAACCCAAAACAAGUAUCCACUAUUACUAAUCAACCCACUAGCAAUUAAAAAUAUUAAUUUAUCUCUACUUUCGAUAAUAAAGAACGAUACUUUACAUAAGACUAUAAUAACAAAAGAAUACUCAUGACACUAAAAUAACGGUUAUGGAGCGACUCUAAGACUUCAAAGAAAAGACCAUAACAAUAAAUAAAUCUCUGCCCACACGAACAAGUGCGAGGCUCACCAAGAGCUAUCAAAAUAUGCGCUCUAAUUAAUGAAAUCCUCACCUGCGUUAACUGCUGUUUGAAUAAUAAAAAAUUAAUGGGGAAUGAGUCCUAGCUCAAUAAGUAAUAACACUUAUCCACAACUGUUUUUAUUGGGGACAAGUAAAAAAAAUGCUAGUAUAUCAAACGAAAAAUAACAUAAAAAUUCCCUUUCAGAAAUAAUAGAUAAGUUCCAGUCUCAUCUAACAAUUAAGUAAUAACCCCGGUAACCACUAUAUAAUAUCAAUAUUCAUAUUUUGGGAGGUUUCGCUGAAUGAAUCGUGUAAACGGUGUAACUUCGUACUUCUUUGCAAGAUCUCAAAUAUAGCGGUAGUCCCUACUCGAGGGAAAUCGAUAAUGGUAUGCUAGUUCUACCUUCCUACUAGCGAGGCUAUAACGGUAAUUGAUAAUUACAAGGUACACCAAGUCUAACGAACCCGUCAUUAGCUACGAGAUCCUUUAAUGUCUACUCUCAUUUAUACUUGUCUCUGUAAUCCGUAUAUACUCGUAGAAAAUAUUUUAACACAAUAUAGGGCAUUCGAGUUUUAUAAAAUCAUGUAAUUUCGUUUCAAUAACGGUAAAUCUUAUCUUAAGUAAUGGUAAAAUAUAUUCAGUAACAAUGAGAAUAUUCAGUAUAACUGUAAUCGCCUAAAAUAUAUAUAGUAGUAUUGUAUCGAGUAAAGGAUUUAUCCCAUAUGCAAAUUCAAAUCAGUCGGUAACAUGUUCAUAUUAAAAUCAUAUGUCAUGUAAUUCAUAUUAAAAUCAUAUGUAAAAAGCCAGUACUAGAAAUACAUAUUGAGGUAAGGUUACUACUCACCCUCAAAGCCAACUAACCAAAGCUCAACUACUUAUUGAUCCAAUUGCUCAAUUCGUGUGCAAACUAUAAAUCAUAUAUGUUUUGUUACCAUCAGUUGACCCCAAAAUUCACUAAUUUUAAGAGAUAGCGAAUUAUAACUUUUGUAACUCACAUCUUAGCGUCACUUAAGGAUAUUGUUUGUUCAACAAUCAUAAUACUAUUAAAAUUAAUUCUCAAUAGUUGCUUCAUCAUAGAUUCAUAGUUAUUCAUGAACUAAUUUAUUUCACAUGAAAAUUCAUAUUACUAUUACCCACCAAAAUCGAGUUCCAAACUCAAUCCUAAUAUUAAAAUUUCACUAAACAUGGUCUAGUUUCUGUAUAUAAAGAUACUAGUUUAACUAAAAUACAUUUUUAUCUUCUCCUUCUUCUUUUAUUCUAAAACCUCCAGUUGUUUUUCCCCAAUUUUCAAUCAAAUACCACCCUUGUAAUUACCCAAACUUACCGUAAAAUUCUAUAUCUAAAAUCAAUAUAGCCACAGUAGAUGAAAGCUUGCUUGUGGUUUGAUGGAACUCUAUUGUUGAGGCUCGAAAAUACAAGCUAAUUUCCUUUUGAUCGAUCACGGUGUUGCUGCUAAAAGAAACGAAACUUUUCUAAGUUUGAUGCUUUAGUGGCUAAGAUUUUUCAAUCUCUCACUUUGAACGCCACAUUCUGAUGGGCUUUAGCCUAUUUUGAAAACGUGAAGAUUAAGCUGAAGAAUCAUGGAGAAUAUAGUGAGAGAAAUAAGAGAGAGA